GGUGUUUACCCUACAAAUUUAAGGUAAAUAUAAAAAACGAGUCGACUCGCAAGAGUUAACUCCAACUUUUUUGAAACAAAGGCUGCGGGGAAUCCGUGGCUUGA
rnacentral:misc_RNA from 1 species